rnacentral:lncRNA from 1 species
GUUUGUCAUUAUGUCGUCUAAUCUUUUAAUUACCAAACGUGACUUAUUCCCGAUUGUGACUGUUUUGCUGAAUGUGAAUUCGCAUUACUAUAAGACGUGUUUCUGUACUUGUUUAUCCCAAAUUCAUGUAUUUAGUUUAAAUGUUUAAUGUUAUAUUUGUAAUUCUCAUCGGAUUUUGUCAAAUGUGUUGACGUCUUUUUUAUUAUAUU